CCCAUAUGAUGAAACCCGCACAUGUCUUACACCUUGUGCUGAUGCCAGACCUGAAAAGGUGAACCCACUGGUGUUGCCUUGGUAAUAAGGGGAGGACUUUGUUGGGGUUACCAACAGUCUGAAGGGA
ensembl:snoRNA SNORD22 Small nucleolar RNA SNORD22